rnacentral:rRNA from 1 species
GCGGAGGAAAAGAAACCAACAGGGAUUGCCUUAGUAACGGCGAGUGAACAGGCAAGAGCUCAGAUUUGAAAGCCUUUUUGGCAUUGUAUUCUGAAGUAUUUAUCCUGAGUAAUGAUGUCUAAGUCUUCUGGAAAGGAGCGCCAUGGAGGGUGAUAGCCCCGUGUGACAUUCCACUCAUUGUAGGAUUUAUACGUGGAGUCGAGUUGUUUGGGAAUGCAGCUCAAACGGGUGGUAUGCUCCAUCUAAAGCUAAAUAUCUGUGAGAGACCGAUAGCGAACAAGUACUGUGAAGGAAAGAUGAAAAGAACUUUGAAAAGAGAGUGAAAAAGUACGUGAAAUUGUUGAAAUGGAAGGGUAGGCCGCUAACCAUGUAGAACCGUGUUUGGGGGGAAGAUAAAAGCUGAAGAAUGUGGCUCCUCGGAGUGUUAUAGCUUCAGUCAAUAUUCCCAUCCGAGCGCGAGGAUCUCAGGUUCUACUAAAUGGUGGUCUACCACCCGUCUU